AGGCCUUAAUAGUAUGGUCUUUGAUGAAUUGUCAAACUGAAAUUUAGGAUUUGUUUAGGGCAGUCACAAUGCAAGACUCUCACAGAGUCCAAGAUGGCUUUAACAGAUAAACUCUUUACAAUACUUUAUGCUGUAAAACAAGAGGAAGAAAAGAAUUAAUUACGUAUUAUUUAUAGUAUUUUGCUGAUGUGACAACAUAUUUAUUGAAGAGAGAUAAAAAAAAAAUAAAACUCCAAGUCUUAUUUAGACUCUAAGUCCACGACAUAAUAAAUAAAGACCGAGUGCCCUUACGCGGGUUGAAUCGUACAGUAUGUACCACGGUGUCGUGCGUGCGUAACAAUCCCGAGGCAGCACCCAGCGCGCUAGCAUACAUGCAUACAGGUUUGGAUCGACACGUGGGCACAUGGAUCCAAAUAUGCAACGCCAGCGGGGGACGGGGCAGCAUGAGCGCUGCCACUGUGCCUUUUUUUUGUACUACUACAGUAGG
rnacentral:lncRNA from 1 species